CUCGGCUGAUCAACAGUAGCAGCAGAAGAAAGGACUGCUUCACACUCGGGAACAUACGAACCACUUAUCUCAAUAGUCAAUAUUUCAGCGAUCCCAGGGAGAACACAACGUCACGGUCAAUCAGAAAAUAACACACAAUGAUAUGAUGGAUAAUCCACAACCAAAUCAUGUUGAGAAGUACACUUGCACCAGCUCAUGGAUACAGCCGUACAGCACGUAAACAGCAACAGAGUACAUGGCUCAGGAUGGCCCAAACUACACCGUUCAAGCAAUUAGAGGACCUAAGUUAUCCUCAAAUGAGUAGCAAGCAAGGCCAGAAAGCAGAGAUGAGCCCCCAAGUUACUUGCUGUUGCUGACCGACCAGCCAACCAUCAAACUAGAGGAGGACUGGACAAUCCAGCUGCUUCUCCAAUACGAGGACUACGAAGCCGACCAAGUGGACACCGCAGAAGGGUACACCAAUCGUAACGGUCGCGCCCGAGAUCUGCAGCAGGCAUCGCCGAAUCGAACACAAUCGCGGCGGCACUACACAGCGGCGAUGCGUCCGGUAACCACACCAGUGCAAACCCCAGGAGCCUCACCCCCGAUCGGAGACGAUGCUUGGAAUCCCCCAAAAUCCCCUGAAAAAACUCCCCGGAAUACACGCGAUAGACCAAGCUGCGCGAGUCCGAUCAACUGGGGGACGGAACGGAAAUUCACGCACAAGCAUCGGGGGGUCAGCUAGAUAGGGAGGGGUACCUGUGCCUGCGCCGCCGCGCGCGAUGAGGCAGGGCCGGGCUAGGGUUCUAGGCGCGGGGGACGGAACGGCCGUCUCUUUGGUGCUCCUCACUGGAAGAAGGCGGCCGUUCGAAUGCGCAUCAGCGCAGUGUCAUUUUGGGUUUCGUUGUGUUUGUUUCGUUGUUCCAUCACCACCAAGAGCUGGU
rnacentral:lncRNA from 1 species